GAGUUUGAUCCUGGCUCAGGAUGAACGCUAGCGACAGGCCUAACACAUGCAAGUCGAGGGGCAGCACGAGGUAGCAAUACUUUGGUGGCGACCGGCGCACGGGUGAGUAACACGUAUGCAACCUGCCCGUAAGACGGGGGAAUAACCCGGAGAAAUUCGGACUAAUACCGCAUAACACCGUCUACCCGCAUGGGUGGAUGGUUAAACAUUUAUGGCUUACGGAUGGGCAUGCGUAUGAUUAGCUAGUUGGUGGGGUAACGGCCCACCAAGGCGACGAUCAUUAGGGGUUCUGAGAGGAAGGUCCCCCACACUGGUACUGAGACACGGACCAGACUCCUACGGGAGGCAGCAGUGAGGAAUAUUGGUCAAUGGGCGAGAGCCUGAACCAGCCAAGUCGCGUGAAGGAAGAAGGUUCUAUGGAUUGUAAACUUCUUUUGUAGGGGAAUAAAAAGCGGCACGUGUGCCCCAUUGUAUGUACUCUACGAAUAAGGAUCGGCUAACUCCGUG
rnacentral:rRNA from 1 species